UGGGGAAUAUUGCACAAUGGGCGCAAGCCUGAUGCAGCCAUGCCGCGUGUGUGAAGAAGGCCUUCGGGUUGUAAAGCACUUUCAGCGAGGAGGAAGGUGGUGAACUUAAUACGUUCAUCAAUUGACGUUACUCGCAGAAGAAGCACCGGCUAACUCCGUGCCAGCAGCCGCGGUAAUACGGAGGGUGCAAGCGUUAAUCGGAAUUACUGGGCGUAAAGCGCACGCAGGCGGUUUGUUAAGUCAGAUGUGAAAUCCCCGGGCUCAACCUGGGAACUGCAUUUGAAACUGGCAAGCUAGAGUCUCGUAGAGGGGGGUAGAAUUCCAGGUGUAGCGGUGAAAUGCGUAGAGAUCUGGAGGAAUACCGGUGGCGAAGGCGGCCCCCUGGACGAAGACUGACGCUCAGGUGCGAAAGCGUGGGGCAGCAAACAGGAUUAGAUACCCUGGUAGUCCAGCGCUGUAAAACGAUGUCGAUUUGGAGGCUGUGCCCUUGAGGCGUGGCUUCCGGAGCUAACGCGUUAAAUCGACCGCCUGGGGAGUACGGCCGCAAGGUUAAAACUCAAAUGAAUUGACGGGGUCAUAGCUGUUU
rnacentral:rRNA from 1 species